GCUCGAGCCCACGCUAACACCUGCCGCGGGGAGAGAUGGGACGGUGAGAGUGCGGGAGAAACAGCGUUAAUGUUUCCGCCCAGUGACUGAGGUGAAAACCGAAAGAAGUGUGGAUGCUAUAAAUCAGAAACAAAGACACAAGUUUCUAGAAAGGCUCAGUAGCUGUGAAGAGAAAUCAAGGAGGCACAGGACUUUAACUACAUUAACUAGGCCUACUGGAUCUCAUAGAAACCCAUACAUCUCAAAUGGGGCUGGAUAGAUGCAGGAAGGAUCUUCCUGACUUCAGGCAAUCCAGGACUAGGGCUCAUAGUCUAAGUGAAGAUCUCGACCCCCGGGAGGGGUCUUUCGGUUCCGCAAUCGGUCAGAUAAUCAAAGGAAUGCAGUCUGCUUCAGCAAGAUUUCACAGUUUAUUAUGAAGCCAAGCACAAGUUUGUCCAGCAACUCGGCAAUUAAAAGCAUCUGUGGAUGGAGAAACUGCACAACUCCACUUAGAACAAAGGCAAUUUUUGUAGUACAGCCUUAAUUGCAGAGUAAUUCCAAUAAAAUGACAUAAUGGACAACAGGUUAAACCAAUGAUAUUUUCUGGAAAACAAAGUUGUUUACCACCCAUUAUCUCUUUGCAUUUACAUUUCAAGGUUAGCUGGGAUGGUUAGUAAUGUCCCAUCUAGCUUAGUUAAUUCCAUACUGUGAAGGCUCCGUUGUCUGCUUUAUCUUUUGAUUCAGUUAGCUCAGCAAGGCAGGAAUGCAGCUUUUAGCGGGGUGAGAAGCCAUUUUAAAUACAGUAUUAAUUUGCAGCUUGAAGCAAUUUUGUUAUGUUACUUUGUAUUAAUAAGCCAUUUUGGCAUAAAAAUGGUUACUCCUGACAAUGGUAAUUCCAGAUUUUAGAUCCUCAUAAGGACCAUUUAGGACCAUGAAGGAAGUUUCUUCAUGCAGAGAGUGGUGAGCCUGUGGAAUUUGCAAUCACAGAAAGCAAUCAAAGCAAAAACAUUGUAUGUAUUCAAGAAGGAAUUCCAUAAAGCACGUGAGCUAAAGGAAACAAAAGAUUGGGGGGGGGUUUCUAAAUGGACUGCUUUGCUGGACUCUGCACCACAGCACAAGCAAAGCAGUGUUUUCAGCCACUCCACCCAAAUAAUUUCACUAAAUGUAAAUGCUGAAAUAGCCAUAGAAUCUUUAUCAAUCACUUUUUUGUCUAAUGUAAAUGACAAAAAAUGGAAAAAAGUCGAAUAAGUCCCAACACGUGGGGCUGGAGGCAUUGAGUUCAUCCGUUGCCGCAGACCUCCAUACCAGUCUGGUGGACCUGAUUACACACCAGGCGCUUAUCGUGGAGCUCCACGAAACGUUCAAAGGCAGGGUCGAAGAAAAGUUGAACAGUAAUCUGGACCCCGCUAUCUGCCAUAAUUCAAAAACAUAAUCAGUAGCUUGAAGACCUCAAGAAGAGAGCGGAUGAUGUCGAGCGCAGAAUCACAAUGGUUGAGACCACAAUCAAUUCAUUGUAUCAUCAGAUCCAAGCCCUUGAAAAGCAGGACUUCUCAGCGGCGAUGGUCCGAAAAAGAAAAUCUUAUUAUGAUAUUAAGAGAAGAUGAAGGGAACUUGUGAACCAAUACCCUUUAAGGUACCCAGCGGUGCUUUGGUUUACUUUCAAUGGAUCAAUACAUUCAGUUGACUACAGAGAAAGCAAAAAAUUUUGUGGACACAUUAAAUUAGACUUGACGUUUUAAUGUAUACAGACAUUAAUUUUUUAAAACAAAAUGUCUUCUUUGUUUUUUUUUCUAUUCUCUGGUACCAACUAGCAUUAAAUUAUACUUGGGGGUGGGCAGAGUACUCACUUUUAACUCAUUUUAACUCUACCAUCUUCUUUCUUUCUUGCUUGUGUCCAUGCAAAACUCCAUGUAGAUGGAGUUAGGAAGGUGCUUAUGAUGGCUAGAUGCCUAUCUAAGGGCAGUUCAAGCCUGGUUUUUGUAUUCAACUGCUCUGGUUGUCAUAUUGGCAGCGGGGAGAAGACAUGUUUUUGGGAUGUUUAGGUACCCUCUUUGGGUGUGGGGGAGGGGGUAAGUUUUCCUAUUCAGCUACAUUGGCACUUUUGUUUUUUUUUGGUUCCUGUUGUAUAUAAUUUUUGUAAGUUUUGAAGAUUUGAAAAAAGUUUCGUAAAAGUUGUGUUAGUCUUUGUAAUCUUUAUGUUCUGUGGAUUUACUUUAAUUGAGGUCAGUGAUUUAUGAUUUGGGUUCUUCGUCUCUGGAGUCCAAAUGUUACUAGAGAGUGUUAUGGCUAAUGAUAUGCUUAAAUGGUAUACCUGGAACAUCAAGGAGAGCCACUCGCCAGUCAAGAGGAAAAAGGGAGAGGGUAGAUAUUACCCUACUGCAGGAGGCGCACCUGGAUAAGGAGCAUUUGAAAUUACAAUCGAGUGGGUUUGAUCAGGUUUAUUUCUUAUCUUUCAACACUAAGAGUAGGGGAGAGGCCGUACUUGUGAGGAAGAAUCUCCCAUUUAAGUUACUGGAUAAUAUUAAAGACAUGUACAGAAGGUUCAUAAUUCUCAAAGCCUUGAUAUAUGGAGAAGAAUACAGUAUUUUAAAUGUUGCUGUCCCCUUGCCCAUCCC